rnacentral:rRNA from 1 species
AUUGAACGCUGGCGGCAGGCCUAACACAUGCAAGUCGAACGGUAACAGGAAGCAGCUUGCUGCUUUGCUGACGAGUGGCGGACGGGUGAGUAAUGUCUGGGAAACUGCCCGAUGGAGGGGGAUAACUACUGGAAACGGUAGCUAAUACCGCAUAACGUCGCAAGACCAAAGAGGGGGACCUUAGGGCCUCUUGCCAUCGGAUGUGCCCAGAUGGGAUUAGCUAGUAGGUGGGGUAACGGCUCACCUAGGCGACGAUCCCUAGCUGGUCUGAGAGGAUGACCAGCCACACUGGAACUGAGACACGGUCCAGACUCCUACGGGAGGCAGCAGUGGGGAAUAUUGCACAAUGGGCGCAAGCCUGAUGCAGCCAUGCCGCGUGUAUGAAGAAGGCCUUCGGGUUGUAAAAUACUUUCAGCGGGGAGGAAGGGAGUAAAGUUAAUACCUUGGCUCAUUGACGUUACCCGCAGAAGAAGCACCGGCUAACUCCGUG